AUAUCCACCGACGCCUUUGCAGCGGCAGGAAGACGGGCCCUCACGCGGGGAAGUCGGGGCCUUUCGAGCAGACGGGGCGGUGCACAGCGAGCUCCAUGCUCCCUCCUCGUCUCCCCCAGGGCAGGCAGGGAAGUCCACCGGGAAGAGCCUCCGCUAGGGGAAGAAGGAGCCUGGGACACCCAGACUCUCUCAGCCAGGGAACAGCAGCUCUCACGGAAGCUCCGCGCCGUCAGCGGGACAGCGCGGGAGCACACAGCCACCUCUGGCCACGCACCGCGGAGGCACUGGCUCGGCCGCUGGCUCCCUGGAGGAGGCUCCGCGGUCCUGCAGCUGCAGGCUGGCAACCCGCUGCUCGCAACCCGACCCGGGUGCCGGGGUGACUGCGCUCGGGCGCCCUCUGCUGCCGGCCUAGGGCAUCACACGCACCUUGCUGGACCCCGAUAUCGUCCGUCUUCGGGAGGAUCCAGUUUCAUAUGACAUCUGUGACACCACCCACGAGGACACCAGUGGUGCUUGACACUUCCUUGCUUGGGGUAAGCUGACCACCCACGUGAGCUAGCCAGUGUCAUAACGGGACAGCUGUCUGGGGACUGUCCACAGCCAGAGAUACACACUGUUUUUAGCGGAAGAAGGAUAUUCUCCAAGUCCCAACUGGCUAAACCGCUCUCUGUUCGGACUUUCCAAGCCAUCUCAUCCCGGGGGUGGAAACAGAGCUUGGAACAAUUUGGAGCAAAAGGACAAUUUCUGGACAAUUAUAAGUGAGUGAAAACAGGAGGUUAUAAUGGAAGUUGUCUUUCAGCCCCGAACGCCAGCGCUGGGUAGGCGAGAGCGCCGUCUGGCAGGGCUUGGUGGUGGGAACGUGGAGCAGUCGUCUGGAACGGCUCAUGGGUGCUCCGUAAUUAGAAACAGCGCUCAGUUCGAGCCCGCCCUCCUGCUGCAGCGCCCCCCUCCCUGCAAAGAAGAAGGGAAAAAAUGCUGGAAAUGUGUAAGAAAUAAAAAUU